AGUGAACGCUGGCGGUAGGCCUAACACAUGCAAGUCGAACGGCAGCACAGUAAGAGCUUGCUCUUACGGGUGGCGAGUGGCGGACGGGUGAGGAAUACAUCGGAAUCUAGUUUUUCGUGGGGGAUAACGUAGGGAAACUUACGCUAAUACCGCAUACGACCUACGGGUGAAAGCAGGGGAUCUUCGGACCUUGCGCGAUUGAAUGAGCCGAUGUCGGAUUAGCUAGUUGGCGGGGUAAAGGCCCACCAAGGCGACGAUCCGUAGCUGGUCUGAGAGGAUGAUCAGCCACACUGGAACUGAGACACGGUCCAGACUCCUACGGGAGGCAGCAGUGGGGAAUAUUGGACAAUGGGCGCAAGCCUGAUCCAGCCAUACCGCGUGGGUGAAGAAGGCCUUCGGGUUGUAAAGCCCUUUUGUUGGGAAAGAAAAGCAGCAGGUUAAUACCCCGCUGUUCUGACGGUACCCAAAGAAUAAGCACCGGCUAACUUCGU
rnacentral:rRNA from 1 species